CCCACAUGGCAGUGGUGCUUGUGGAGCGGGUGCACCGCUGAGCCACUUUCAUUUGGUUAGAUGUGAUUCAGGUCAUUACCUUAGCAAAUGCUCCCUGCAGAGGUAGAUUGUUCUUCUAAUUUUUCUAAGUUACUUACUCAUCAACUAGAACAUGCAAUCACACUGAGACAUAAUGGAUAUUAUUCUGCACAGCCAUCUUAUACAGUUGGUACGAAAAAAUGCAGAGUGAAAACGAUGGAAAUGAAAAACUUCAGCGAGUGGACUGGGGGGACGAUCGCAGGGCAGUGCUGAUCUGACGCAAACAGAAGACGUGUGGGUCCCCCCCACAUCUCUGCAACCCAUGAUUUAUAUUGGUUUUGUUCACGUGUUAAGUGCUGUGUCGAGCAACAUGCUGAAUCAGUGCCGAGGAGUGCAUGGUGUCAGAGUUAGUG